CGCACAGAAAAAUGUGACGUCGAUAUUUGGCGUAUUUUCCCAGCCAGGUAACUCAUAGGAAAAACCUGAAUUAUUAACAGACGACAAAAGACGACAAAACAAAAUAUCCAAUUUUUGUAUCACUGGCCAGAGUGCCCACAUCACCUGAGCAACAUCUGGUGCGUGUGUUAAAUCUAAAGCUUCCACAUUCCUAGAUCUACCUACACUAUGGCGAUAUAGAAAUACUGCAAACAAAUAACACAUUUGCAACUACAAUCAAGUCACAAGAAAGAUAAGCAUGAGUACUUUAAUAUUUUAUUCUUCUUAUGCACUUUUUUUUUUUUACAAUUUUACAUUUCGGUAACAAAAAGUACUCUACACUACACAUUUAAAAACAAAACAACUGAAGAUAUAAAAAAUAUAGUUAAGUAUCACAGCUAGUAAAAAGAAAACAAUUUAAGGAAAUCAUAGUCAACAUCCCAAAACAUUUUACAUGGACAAAUUAAUGG